UCAACAUCAACCAGUAAUGCGACGUAUGGGCAGAAUAUUAACAAGUUUUGAGUGAUAGAGUAGUAUCCCAUAGAUACUACUUUGCGCAUAACACAAACAAUCAUUGAUCAUAAUUGUGUGCAUGUGUGUGUGUCAAAUAUCGGAUUUUCAUAUUGUAGUAUUAAGUGAGAAUCCAUUCUGCUAAUUUUUGCAAGGUGUAUCAAAGAAGGAUUUCAAAUAGGUUGGGUGCAGGUGUUUUACAGUGAAAAUCAAAGUAAACGCUACAAUAAUCUAAACGAUAAUUGCUGUGUUUAAUUAAAGACCUAUCCAGUGCAAGUCAGAUGUUUUGGAUGCGAAGUCGUACUGGUACAUACAUACAUAUAUGCAAAUGCAAAUUUGCAGAUCAACAUUCCUUGAGGAACAGGGGCAAUUUUCCCACAUAUCAAAGAUUGCUG